UAGUUAGCACCCUACCACAGAGACCAGAUAGCAGCACCCUGAGUCGGCUUCUUAGGGGUAAAGAAAAGAAAAGAAAAGAAUCGAUGUUGUAAUAUUAUGUUUAGAAAUCGAUUGUAUAUUUGGAAGUUGAGGAUCAAUGUAAUGAAAAAUGCGAUGUAAAAUGAUGAGAUGAAUGAUUGUAAUAACAUAGGAUGUGUUAUGUUGUUUGAUACCUUCCUUAUGCAAUCGUUGUUGAAAAUUGUUCCUGUUUGGAACCUCUUGUACUUGUAUUGAUUGCGACGCCUUGAACGUACAGGGGAGACUCUGUCCGCGUGCAGGGGAAACCCUGUCCGUUCGGCGGUCUGUUGGCGUGCCCGAAUCCGACCAAAGAGGCGGGCG
rnacentral:lncRNA from 1 species